rnacentral:misc_RNA from 1 species
GACGGAGGGCGCAAGCGUUGUUCGGAAUUACUGGGCGUAAAGCGCGCGCAGGCGGAUGCCGCAAGUCGGGAGUGAAAGACCGGGGCUCAACCCCGGACCCGCUUCCGAUACUGCGGAUCUAGGGACCGGUAGAGGCCGGUGGAAUUCCCGGUGUAGCGGUGGAAUGCGUAGAUAUCGGGAAGAACACCCGUGGCGAAGGCGGCCGGCUGGGCCGGAUCCGACGCUGAGGCGCGAAAGCGUGGGGAGCAAACAGG